rnacentral:rRNA from 1 species
GACGAACGCUGGCGGCGUGCUUAACACAUGCAAGUCGAGCGAUGAAGUUUCUUCGGAAAUGGAUUAGCGGCGAACGGGUGAGGAACACGUGAAGAAUCUGCCCUCCACUUUGGGAUAACACCGGGAAACCGGUGCUAAUACCGAAUAUUGAAACAUAAGUGGCAUCACUGAGUUUUGAAAGAAUUUCGGUGGAGGAUGACUUCGCGGCCUAUCAGCUAGUUGAUGAGGUAAUGGCGAACCAAGGCAACGACGGGUAGCCGGCCUGAGAGGGCGACCGGCCACACUGGGACUGAGACACGGCCCAGACUCCUACGGGAGGCAGCAGUGGGGAAUAUUGGGCAAUGGAGGAAACUCUGACCCAGCGACGCCGCGUGCGGGAUGAAGGCCUUCGGGUUGUAAACCGCUUUCAGUAGGGAAGAAGCGAAAGUGACGGUACCUACAAAAGAAGCACCGGCUAACUAUGUGCCAGCAGCCGCGGUAA